UUUUCUUGKUAGUUUUUGAAGUAUGGCCUGCCCGCUGAUUGAAGGGCCGCGGUAUUUUGACCGUGCAAAGGUAGCAUAGUCAUUAGUUCUUUAAUUGUGAUCUGGUAUGAAUGGCUUGACGAGACAUGGGCUGUCUUCUUGAAUUUGGAGUUUAAGUUAAAAUUCUUAGAUGUUUUUAUGGGACGAGAAGACCCUAUAGAGUUUGACAUUUGAUUCYUUUGUUUGUUUUGAAUUUUUGCGUUGUUUUGUUGGGGUGAUGGGAGGAAUUUUUUAACUCCUCUUUGUUGGUAUAUUGAUUUAUUUUAUUUUGAUCCAUUUAUUUUGAUUGUAAGAUUAAAUUACCUUAGGGAUAACAGCGUUAUCUUCCCUGAGAGUUCUUAUUGGCSKGGGGGUUUGCGACCUCGAUGUUGGAUUAAGGUUAAUUUUUSGUGUANGAGCUGAAUUGAUUAGGUCUGYUCGACCUUUAAAAUCUU
rnacentral:rRNA from 1 species